AGAGUUUGAUCCUGGCUCAGAACGAACGCUGGCGGCGUGGAUUAGGCAUGCAAGUCGAACGGGAUGCCAGAUCUUUUAGUUUUCGGACGAGAAGGCUGGCUGAGAGUGGCGAAAGGGUGAGUAACGCGCGAGUAACUUGCCUCCAAGUCGGGAAUAGCACCUGGAAACGGGUGGUAAUACCGGAUGUGGCGCAUCUUCGCAUGAAGAUGUAUCUAAAGGUGGGGAUUCUUCGGAACCUGCCGCUUGGAGAUGGGCUCACGUACUAUCAGCUUGUUGGUGAGGUAACGGCUCACCAAGGCUUAGACGGUUAGGUGGUCUGAGAGGAUGGUCACCCACACUGGGACUGAGACACUGCCCAGACUCCUACGGGAGGCUGCAGUCGAGAAUCAUUCGCAAUGCGCGAAAGCGUGACGAUGCGACGCCGCGUGUAGGAUGACGGCCUUCGGGUUGUAAACUACUGUCAUGAGGGAACAAUGUCCAGGGAGUGAAUAUCUCUUUGGAGUGAUAGUACCUCAAGAGGAAGCCACGGCUAACUCUGUGCCAGCAGCCGCGGUAAUACAGAGGUGGCGAGCGUUGUUCGGAUUUACUGGGCGUAAAGGGUGCGUAGGCGGUAUUGUGUGUCGGAUGUGAAAUCCCACUGUUCAUCGGUGGAAUGGCAUCCGAAACUGCAGUGCUAGAGUACAGGAGAGGAAAGCGGAAUUCUCGGUGUAGCGGUGAAAUGCGUAGAUAUCGAGAAGAACACCAGUUGCGAAGGCGGCUUUCUGGACUGAUACUGACGCUGAGGCACGAAAGUCGGGGGAGCAAACAGGAUUAGAUACCCUGGUAGUCCCGACCGUAAACGGUGUACACUUGGUGUGGGUGGUUUGUCCCCAUCCGUGCCGUAGCUAACGCGUUAAGUGUACCGCCUGGGGAGUACGGCCGCAAGGCUAAAACUCAAAGGAAUUGACGGGGGCCCGCACAAGCGGUGGAGCAUGUGGCUUAAUUCGAUGCAACGCGAAGAACCUUACCCAGGCUUGACAUGCCUGUCGUAUCCUAUCGAAAGACUGGAGUCAGUUCGGCUGGACAGUGCACAGGUGCUGCAUGGCUGUCGUCAGCUCGUGCCGUGAGGUGUUGGGUUAAGUCCCGCAACGAGCGCAACCCCUGUGAAUAGUUGCCAGGUUCUCUUCGGAGAACGGCCCUCUAUUCAGACUGCCCGUGACAAGCGGGAGGAAGGUGGGGAUGACGUCAAGUCAGUAUGGUCCUUAUGCCUGGGGCUGCACACGUGCUACAAUGGCCGGUACAGAAGGAAGCGAAACCGCAAGGUGGAGCCAAUCCCCAACGCCGGCCUCAGUUCGGAUCGGAGUCUGCAACUCGACUCCGUGAAGUUGGAAUCGCUAGUAAAGGCGUAUCAGCUACGACGCCUUGAAUACGUUCCCGGGCCUUGUACACACCGCCCGUCACAUGACGAAAGUUGACUGCACCCGAAGUCGCUGAUCCAACCCGCAAGGGGGGAAGGUGCCGAAGGUGUGGUGGAUGAUUGUCAUGAAGUCGGAACAAGGUA
rnacentral:rRNA from 1 species